UUAUAUGGUCCAUGAGUCCCAUAUAUAUAUAGUAAGUAUUUAGGAAGUGGAUUUAAUUAAUUAGAGUGAACAGUUUCAAUGUUAUUAAUGGAAUGACUUGUUGCUCCAAAUCCAAAAGUAAUUAUCUGAUAAUUUCACAAAUCUCCUAUAAAACCUAAACCGGCUUUGGAAUAAUAAUAAUAUGCUUACAAAUUAAGAAAAACAGUGUGAAAUCAUAGCUUAAAAUGGCGUGUUUUAUUAAACCGGACUAAACCGGAGUCCACUUAAGAGUGGUUCGCUCAGUCCCAAAGCAGAAUCAGAUGAGCGAGUCAUGAUUCCGCGUUUCCUUCUUCUUUCUCUUCUAGACCUGACCGCGGAUUUCACAAAAAGAUUCUGCGAGGAUUGUAAAUUUUGUGCUGAGGGGUUUGCAUUAGGGAUGAUACAAUAUGAUGGUUUUCCAUUAGCACACGGUCGUGCAUUUAGUGUGUCGCUAUGUCUGCUAGGAAGAGGAUCGCUUUUGGUUUGGACAAUCUACCAGAGAGUUUACUUUGCAACAUAUUGUCUUUCUUGCCAAUAAAAUUUGCUGCAACUACUCCGUUCUCUCAAAAAGCUGGCGCUAUGCGUGAGCCUUCUCACCAAACCUUUCAUUUAGAUACGACGAAGGUGCUGAUGGGUUGGCUUUUGUCGACUUUGUUGAUACAGUUUUGCCUUCGCGAGCAAAUGCUUUGGUAAAGAAGUUCUCUUUGUAUCUUGUUGAAGGCGUUGAUGGAGAACCUGUUGGUGGUUGGAUACGCUAUGCUUUGCAACACGAGGUGUCAAAUAUUGAGAUACAAAUAUAUAAUCUGAAUAAUUGGUCCGGACCACCUCGAGACGUCUUUGUGGCCAAGAAACUAGUUAGGCUGGAAAUAGGCACUGGGGAUUGUUGCAUCAUUGACCUGGAAGGUGAUUGUAAUCUCCCAAGUCUGAAGAUUCUUCGUCUUGAUGAUGUUCAGUUGAAGCUUCUCUCAAGUUGCCCUGUUCUUGAGGAGUUAGCUAUGGUGGACAUGAGGUGGCAUGACCGGGAUGUUUGUUGUGUGCGUAGCACAAGUCUCAAGAGAAUAAAGAUCUGCUAGGAAUCUGAAUCUGAUGAUGAUGAAGGCCAUAAUGGACGUCCUAAGAGUGUGUCAUUUGACACUCCAAAUCUUCUGUACUUUAAAUAUUCAGAUGAUAAUGCUAGCAAGUAUCCAACAACCAACUUUGAUAAGCUUGUUUAGGCCAAGCUUAAACUUGGCAGAAAAGCAGAGCAAGAAGAAAAAGAGAAUGUAGCCGGUGAUGUUACAGAUUUUUGGAAGGUUAUCAGCAACGUUGAGAUCCUUGUCCUAAAGUCAGAAACUCUUGAGGUUUGCUGAUCUCAGUCUCUUGAAUCUGAAUACUACUUUUGCCUUUUGCUGUGAUGAUUUAGUUGACAUGGUCUUGUUGUCGGGGUGCUUACGGAGGAUCAUAUGCCAGUGUUCAAAAACAUGAGUCAGCUGACAAUUGAGAAGAAGACUGGCCCAAAACUAAGAUGGGAAUUUCUGCAAGCUCUGCUCAAUAACUGUCCAAAUCUAGAAACACUGCUCCUCAAAGUAACAAAUCAUGCUUCUUGGUGUUUUGGUCAACCUUUUGCAGAAGGUGAGCAAGAAAUUUGAAUGUAGUGAAGAUAAAGAAUCUUCAAUGGAGGACGUGAAACAGUUUUUGGAGGAAGUGGAGAUGAGUUUUGAAGAAGAAUAGAUAGAACAUAUCAUCCUUUUUUUUUUUUCUCUUAUGGACCAUCUGAUAUAACAUUUUUCUUUGGAAAAUAAACACUUAUUAAAAAAACAAAAUGGUCUUGCUUAUUAUAAUCUAUUUUAGAAAGGGUUUGGUGUUACACAGUGAAAUUAUUUUUAGGGAUGCUUGCUAAACAAGACUCCUAACUUGAGUCAAUUGCAAGAUUAGACUUUUCUUUUUUUUCUCUCCAACAUUUGCCACUUUUUUCCAAUUAAAUCCUUAUGUGUUCGUUAUAUUCACAAAAAUGCCAUUAUUUCUGAUUUAUUUGAAUUUCUUGCAAAAAUGUUUAUUACA